AGAGUUUGAUCCUGGCUCAGGACGAACGCUGGCGGCGUGCCUAAUACAUGCAAGUCGAGCGAACCAAUAAGAAGCUUGCUUUUUGUUGGUUAGCGGCGGACGGGUGAGUAACACGUGGGUAACCUGCCUGUAAGACCGGGAUAACUCCGGGAAACCGGUGCUAAUACCGGAUAGAUUAUCUUUCCGCCUGGAGAGAUAAGGAAAGAUGGCUUUUGCCAUCACUUACAGAUGGGCCCGCGGCGCAUUAGCUAGUUGGUGAGGUAAUGGCUCACCAAGGCGACGAUGCGUAGCCGACCUAAGAGGGUGAUCGGCCACACUGGGACUGAGACACGGCCCAGACUCCUACGGGAGGCAGCAGUAGGGAAUCUUCCGCAAUGGACGAAAGUCUGACGGAGCAACGCCGCGUGAGCGAAGAAGGUCUUCGGAUCGUAAAGCUCUGUUGUUAGGGAAGAACAAGUAUCGGAGGAAAUGCCGGUACCUUGACGGUACCUGACGAGAAAGCCACGGCUAACUACGUGCCAGCAGCCGCGGUAAUACGUAGGUGGCAAGCGUUGUCCGGAUUUAUUGGGCGUAAAGCGCGCGCAGGCGGUCCUUUAAGUCUGAUGUGAAAUCUUGCGGCUCAACCGCAAGCGGUCAUUGGAAACUGGGGGACUUGAGUGCAGAAGAGGAAAGCGGAAUUCCACG
rnacentral:rRNA from 1 species